rnacentral:lncRNA from 1 species
GUAAGGGGCCUGUCAACACGCCAGAUAACCUACGCCACGUGCGACCAUGCCAUACUAUCAUAAUAUCUCCCCGUACGCCGGUACAACCAACGCCACGUACGGGGUCUGUCUCAACGCCGGAUAACCUACGCCACGCGAGACCUGAACAUCAUAUCACAUAACUCCCCAUACGCCGGUACAACCAACGCCACGUAUGGGGCCUGUCCCAACGCCGGAUAAGCUACGCCACGCGGGACCUCAAUAUCAUAUCACAAAUCUCCCCAUACGCCAGUACAACCAACGCCAUGUAUGGGGUCUGUCGACACGCCGG